rnacentral:rRNA from 1 species
GAUGAACGCUGGCGGCGUGCCUAAUACAUGCAAGUCGAGCGAACAGACGAGGAGCUUGCUCCUCUGACGUUAGCGGCGGACGGGUGAGUAACACGUGGAUAACCUACCUAUAAGACUGGGAUAACUGCGGGAAACCGGAGCUAAUACCGGAUAAUAUAUUGAACCGCAUGGUUCAAUAGUGAAAGACGGUUUUGCUGUCACUUAUAGAUGGAUCCGCGCCGCAUUAGCUAGUUGGUAAGGUAACGGCUUACCAAGGCGACGAUGCGUAGCCGACCUGAGAGGGUGAUCGGCCACACUGGAACUGAGACACGGUCCAGACUCCUACGGGAGGCAGCAGUAGGGAAUCUUCCGCAAUGGGCGAAAGCCUGACGGAGCAACGCCGCGUGAGUGAUGAAGGUCUUCGGAUCGUAAAACUCUGUUAGUAGGGAAGAACAAAUGUGUAAGUAACUAUGCACGUCUUGACGGUACCUAAUCAGAAAGCCACGGCUAACUACGUG